CUAUGCCAUUAAGAAGAAGGAUGAGAUAGAGAGAGUUGCCAAGGCCAACCGUUGAGAGUUGAACUGCAAAGUCUCAAAGUGCGAGAGUUUCAUAGUAGCUUUUCUUUUUAUUAUGUUUGUCUUUUUGGAACGACGUCACUGGAUAUGCCUUUGCUUAUGAAAAUUUUGGAUUGAAUUUCUCCAUGUUAUGAAGAUUAAAGGGGGAUGCUGACACUUUAUGUUGUUAGCUUCAUUUAUUCAAGUCAUCCUAUUAGCGUUGGUGUUUUCUAUAUUGCAUUGCGCUUUGGUUUCUUGCAUGCUUUUGCAUCUCGACACGUUGCGUUUCUUUUCGAAAUACAUGUCAAGUUCUCUGAGUCUCUCCUUGGGUAGCUACAAGCACUGGUACCUUUUUUUUUUCGUUUUUUUUGUUCACGUUGAAGUUGGUUCAAGCUGGCUGUGGAUCCGCUUGACAACUCAUGGGCCUUCUUGGCACCUUCUUGGCACCAUGCUGAAUGAUAGCUAGGUGUUUCUCGUGGACCGUCAUUCCAUGAAAUUCGUAAUCUUACUGUUCGAGUUAAGCAUGUCAUUCCAUCUACAGUGACACGAGAGAAUAGGAGUGAGCCUUGAAACUUCAGAGGAUAGUUCUGAUCUCGAGAGAGGUGGACUGUGGGGUCUAUCAUCUUCGUUUUUCCCUGGAUUUGGAACCCAUCCAUUUGGAUGUAAAUUUAAAUUGGCUUUGCGAAAGUGCUCACUCUCAGCUUAUGGAACCUGUUAGUAUAUGCAUGACCUGCUCCAUACAAGGGUUGGUCCGCGCUGCCCUAAUUCGUGUCCAGUUCCACGGGUUCUUCCUAAGGGCAUCCGCAAGGGAAUGUAUAAAGUAUACAGCGAUCGGCCGUCGAGCUAUGUACGAGAGGGAACGCACUUAGCACGAUCCUGGGGAUUGAUUACAAAUUUACAAUGGUGGUGUUUGAUCAAUUCUUUUCCACUUCCCGUGUUUUGCAACAUCACUUCGAUAAAAGAAUUCAUGUUACUUUUGCACCAUAAUUAAAAGAAGAUAAAUUUGAAAGAAGAGAGGAGGAAAUAAGGUAGCAAGGUUAUGCCUUCUAUUGGGGGCGAUUGAUUUUGAGUGAGUCGGUUUCGAUUUCGCAAAUGGGGAAUUGGCCUCUUAAGCUCUAGAAUGUGAACCGACCUUAUUGACUAUGGAAAUUGAUUCGGUUUCAAAAUCAACCCGGAUCGAAAAUGUCUGGUGGUUUGACAGCUUUGUUGUCCCAACACAUUGCCUUCUUUUACUACUCGAUGACAGUUUCGUGUACAUGCAUUAAGCUCAAAAACCGCAUGUAAGUUUGUGAAUGUGCAUCGGCGUUGUUGGAAAAACUUGGAAAUUGUGCGGGAUGUUCUGUAUAUCUUUGGUGCUGGUUAAGGUUUUCUCGUCUCAAGAAAUAUCCCCGAAUUUUAUGUUCUAGAAUUCUCUUAGAUCAGUUGAUAAAUGGUAAAAGACUACGCACAAAUGCUUGCUCUUGAAAGACUUAAAAUGAAAAGUAAAAGAAGGGGGGAAACCUUUGAGGAUGUCCGAAACCUCAAAUUAACGGCGCAAAAAAAAAAGUAAGAGACGAUGGUGAGCACAGUAAAACUGGGGCGGUGGACAGCAAUAAGCUGGCCUGGCGACACCACGGUGGUGGGCGACGCGAAGGGGAGGACUAGAGAUUGAGGUGGUGACUCUAAAAGAGAGAGAGAGACGUGCAAAUUUAAUUCAAAGUUUACCUCUAUCCCUCCGUCAAAUGAAAAAAUAAGCAAUAAAACUUAAGUGAUUCCAUCAAUUCAGCCCGGCCCAGCAUAAGGAAUUGGGAAUUAGAUAAAUUAUUACCGGUUAAAAAUUUGUGGAACUGAUUCCGGUCCCUGCCCCUGCCCGAACGGUUCCAGAAUAGAACCGGGGAUCCAUGCUCUUUCCUAAUACUUUCGGAAGAAAAUUUUUCUUACGGCCCCCUGAAAUCGGAAAACACGAACCUUUUUUUCUUAACCCCUGCCUAAACCCCGGUGUCUCCCCUGCUCGCUCUCGAUGAAGCUUCUGCAAACCAGCGGCAGGGCACCGAGCAGCGUCAUGGCUCGCGGAAUCGCAAGCAAUGCGGCGUUCGGCUUCUCUCCUCAACGUUCAUCGUCGUCGUCGUCGUCGUCGUCGUCGCUCUCGUCGGCCGAAGCGGCUCGAAUGGGCAACAGGAGACCCCUGGACGGUCCCAUGAUGGAGCUGUUCCGCAGGAUCUCCCCUCUCGGCGAUCCGAAGAUCUCGAUCGUCCCGGUGCUCGACCAGUGGGUCGCGGAAGGCAACUCCGUCGAGCGGAGGCCUUUCCUCCGCCUGAUCAAGCGGAUGAGGUCCUACCGUCGGCACAGUCACGCGCUCGAGGUAUUUACACGAUCCGUGUAUGCGUACUUGUGCGGGGGGUGUGCGGGGGGCGCUAGAUGCUGAAAAGAAAGUUAGGUAGUCGCGGGAUUGGAUUUGCUCUUCCCGGUGAUCGAUUGGAUUUGGCUUAUUAGUUCGGCUGGACGUUGGAAAAAGGACGUCGGGGAGUGAAAAUGAACUGAACCGCGACUUUACUGCGUAAAUUGUGUAGAGGGGAUUGGUUGAGCCGUUGAGGUUCUGUGUUUUGAUUCGAUUAUCUGGUUAUUCCUUGCUUGCUGCGAGAUAAUGAGAUGCUGGAUGUCAAGGGUAUGCAAAAUACAGAUAUAUAUCUCAUGUUUCGAGGGACCCCUCCCUUUCGAAGCCUCAUCCAUCCAUGCACUUUUGAAGAGGAGGAUUCUAGAUCCUGGCUCUACGUGAACCACAGUCCAAGGCAGAAGAUUUAGCAAAGCAUUUUUAGAAUUCCGUAGCAUUUUGGUUUCAAUGUUAAAAAACACAUCGUUAUAGCUGCAAGUACAGCCAUGUCACAACCUUGUAAAGGUACAGCAAAAAAUUCGCAGCCCUUAAUGCAAGCUGUUUUUGGGACACGUCUGGAGUGGGUGCUAAUGCUGGUUUGCACAAGAUUGCUAGGACGAGUGAUGUCCCUUUAUGUCUUCUGGAGAUCUUCAAUGGACUAAACGCAUCUUCCUCCAAAAAUGCAUCUUCCUCCAAAAGAUACUAUUCCCCUUUUCUUUUUCUGUGUUGAAGAAACAAUUAUUGUUCCACCAUUGUUUCCUGAAAGAGUGGAGCAACCUGCUCUUUGUAGGAGCUGUUGUUCUUUACGUUACUGCAUAAGUAGUAAUAUGAUGUGCAACUGAUUCUGAAGUUGUGCCAUUUAAUUAUUUCUGUCUGCAUCAAGUAGAAGAAUAAUCUUUCCCAUGACUAACAGACCUGUCAGCUUUUUGUUGUGCAUUCCUUGUGUGUUUCUUUUCUUUCUGUUACCCUUCCUAGUUAUAAGUGGUCAAUGGUAGAGCCACGAAUAGAAACACUUUUGAAGGGUUGCAAGGAUUGGGUGGAAGAAAUUUUUUUGAUUUUCAGAUAAAAUUGGAAAAAUGAGAAAAAAUGGGUUAGUGAUUCAAAGACGAACUGGGAGAGCUGCUCCAGCAUUUUGUGUCGUUCUAGAUUUAUUAGGCAUGAAAUGAUGUUGGGGAUUUAUUUGCAUGCAAGCCAAACUGCAUGAACUGAAUUGAUGGGAGUGAACUAAGUUGCACAUGCUAGGUGCACCGCCACUGCACGCAGACACAAGCAUGCAUUUUAUCGUAAGUAUGGAACUUUGUUUUCUUGUACUCCUAACUGCUAGCUCACUACAAUUCAAGCACCAUUUUGCAUAUAGAUGGAUAUGGCUGAGAUGAAGUAAUGCACUGUGAGAGUCAUUUUCAUGCUUCCUGCCAACACCUUUCCAGGGCUUGCUUUGUCCUUAAUGAGACAUGCUAAGUUCACUUACUGUUCUUUAUAAUCAGUCUCUACCAAUCAUGUUAUGUAUGCAAGAUUAGUUUCAGAUCGAGAUGUGUGGGUAGCAUAGUAUCUGAAAUUUGUAAUGAAAGGCUGCCUGGGCUGAGGCAACUGUUCCUGACAUUCUUGCUACUGUUAACAUUACAUAGCCAGUCACUGUGCUAUGAACCAUUGAAGAUAGUACCUUUCAUAUGGUUUUAGUAUAGGUCCCAUUUUCCUCAAAUAACAAUGCCUACGUAAUGAUCUCUUUUGAAAUUUAGUGGUUGGAGAGUUGAUGCUUCCAUCUAUAUCAUCUCAUAAUUCAUAAAUUCAGAUCUUAUUAUAUUAAAUCCUCAUUAUCUUUUGUAGAUAUCAAUGUGGAUGUCUGAUAAAAGGUAUAUCGCAAUUACAACUGUGGAUGCUGCUGUUCGGCUCAAUCUGAUCUCAAAAGUCCAUGGGAUAGAACAAGCAGAGAUAUUUUUUGAUAACGUUCCCAGACAGCUUAAAGUCGAAAAGGUCUAUAUUGCUCUUCUUAAUUGCUAUGCUAAGGCAAAACUUCCAAAGAAAGCAGAGGCUCUGUUGGAGACAAUGAGGCAUCUGGGAUUCCCAAGGUCUGUCCUUUGCUUCACUAAUUUGCUUAAUCUUUACUAUCGGACUGGAGACUAUGGUAAAGUAGAUACUCUGAUUAAUGAGAUGGAAGAAGAAAAGAUUAAUCUGAAUAGAUAUAUCUACAGUAUCUGGCUGAGUGCGAGUACUGCUGCUUCUGACACUGAGAAAUUCGAGAUGAUUGUAAAACGGAUGAAAAUGGAUGCUAAUUUUGUUUGGGACUGGACAACAGGUGUUGUAGUGACCUCUGGGUACUUUAGAUUGGGUCUUCUCGAUAAAUCUCUGGAAAUGCUAAAGAAAUGUGAGGGACUGAUAACUGAGAAAACAAGUAACGCAGUGUACGACUUUCUUAUCACGCAAUAUGCAGUAGCAGGGAAUAAAGAUGAAGUUUUAAGAGUAUGGGAUGUUUACAAGAAGAAGAGAAAAGUGUACAACAAGGGGUAUAAUUGCGUCAUGAACUCUUUGCUGAAGUUCGACGACAUUGAAAGUGCUGAAAUGAUUCUGGAGCAGUGGAUGUCUAGUGAUUUGACCUGCGAUAUUCGUAUUCCAAAUAACCUGAUUCAUGCUUAUAGCAGAACUGGUGACCUUGAGAAGGCUGAGAGACUUAAGAACGAAAUUGUACAGAAAGGCGGGAAGCUUGAUUACAUGACAUGGUACCAUUUGGCAAAAGGAUAUAUCCAAAAUAAUGAGAUGUCGGAGGCAUAUGAUGCCAUGAAGAAAGCAAUAUUGGUUUGUCCAUCUCAGUGGAAGCCAGGUCUGCAAUCUUUGACCGCGUGUCUGGAAUCUAUUAUGGGAAAAGAAAGAGCUGAAGAAGCCAAAGAAUUUAUCGAGUUGCUUAGGGCCAAAGAUAUUAUUUCUGUGGAUGCCCAAAAUAGGUUGUUGAAUUGCAUUUAUGACGAAAAAGCAAGCUGGGAGGCUCUCAGUGUAGCUAUUGGCGACGCUCUUGCGUACUAUGCCGAAGCACCAGGAACACUUGGGGAAGUGGACAAGAGCAGAGGGCAUGGUGUAUGGGAUGCAAAUGUAGCUGUCACCGAUUCAGAUUGUGAAAGUUUUUCGGGUGAAGAAACACAUUAGCUGAGCAUUAGGAGCUCAUAUGCACUAUGGGCGUUUUGGUGGGUGAACAAAUUUAUGGGGGGAGCCAUAUCUGUUGUAAGAUUGGGCUCAUGCCUUGAAAUUUCUUUAUGGUUGCCAUCUUCUGGUGGACAAGUUGGUUGUGGAGCUCAUGAGACUACGCAUAUGGGCAAAAAUGAUAUUAACUGUCUUCAGACUAUUCACUCAAUUGCUAGAUGCAGGUGGCUAUCUGGAAUAUGAUUGAGCGCCGUCAAUUCCACGCCAGCGUCAGCUGCAAACAUGAAAUCUGCACUGCGCCAGAGGGACAGGGAAAGUUCAUAUGUCUCAGGCCUUGGUUUUGUGUUUCGCAUCAUGCCCCAUCUAUUAUUUUUCUUUUCGGUCCUAGUAAGGUGGCGUGCGAUCGAACCAAUAUCUAGCGAUGGUACAAAUUGCUGCUUUGUUUGGCCACCGUCUAUGGAAUGA
rnacentral:lncRNA from 1 species